ACUACAGUUCCCAGGACAGGGCACAGGCAAGAACAUGUCUGCAAGAGGCAGUGUUUGCCCACCUGAAGGGGGCAUGGAUUCAGUGAAGAUAGAAGAGUUGAGGUGACCAGCAGAUGACACUUGGGCCCUCUGGCAACCUGUGAAGGCCUGAACACCCCUGUGGUAACAGGGAUUAUCCUGAACUCUUGUCGAACGUGCCCCUCCCGUGUGCCGGAGAUUUUCCACCCUAGUGCCUGCGCUCACCACGACUAUGCCAGUGCUGUGAGGCAGACUCUCCAGAGGAUAGAUAAGAGGCCAGGACACUGUCUUCAGCCAUGAGGAUCUCCCCAGCUAGGGAGGAAACAUCUUACCGUGGAUCAGGAAGCAGAAAUCUGAGCAAAAAUGGCUGGCAUCCCACGCCCUCAGUGCAGGCAGGCACUGUACGAAGGCCCUCUUAUUGCAAAAUGACUUGUGUAAAAAUCAUUCAAGACCAAGAGAAAUAAAUGACUAUUGAUCCCA